rnacentral:tRNA from 7 species
CUUUCAAAGGAUAACAGCUUAAUCCACUGGUUUUAGGAACCACAACCUCUUGG